GACGAACGCUGGCGGCGUGCUUAACACAUGCAAGUCGAACGGUAAGGCCCCAGCUUGCUGGGGUACACGAGUGGCGAACGGGUGAGUAACACGUGGGUGACCUGCCCCGCACUUCGGGAUAAGCCUGGGAAACUGGGUCUAAUACCGGAUAGGACCGCACCGAGAGGGUGUGGUGGAAGGUUUUUCGGUGUGGGAUGGGCCCGCGGCCUAUCAGCUUGUUGGUGGGGUAAUGGCCUACCAAGGCGGCGACGGGUAGCCGGCCUGCGAGGGUGGACGGCCACCUUGGGACUGAGACAGGCACCAGACUCCUACGGGAGGCAGCAGUGGGGAAUAUUGCACAAUGGGGGGAAGCCUGAUGCGGCGACGCCGCGUGGGGGAUGACGGCCUUCGGGUUGUAAACUCAUUUCACCAUCGACGAAGGUUUUCUGACGGUAGAUGGAGAAGAAGCACCGGCUAACUACGUG
rnacentral:rRNA from 1 species